AUUGAACGCUGGCGGCGUGCCUAACACAUGCAAGUCGAGCGGCAGCGCGGGAGCAAUCCUGGCGGCGAGCGGCGGACGGGUGAGUAACGCUUGGGAAUCUGCCUAUUAGUGGGGGACAACCCGGGGAAACUCGGGCUAAUACCGCAUACGCACUACGGUGGAAAGCCGGGGACCGCAAGGCCUGGCGCUAACAGAUGAGCCCAAGUCGGAUUAGCUAGUUGGUAGGGUAACGGCCUACCAAGGCGACGAUCCGUAACUGGUCUGAGAGGACGACCAGUCACACCGGAACUGAGACACGGUCCGGACUCCUACGGGAGGCAGCAGUGGGGAAUAUUGGACAAUGGGGGAAACCCUGAUCCAGCGACGCCGCGUGGGUGAAGAAGGCCUGCGGGUUGUAAAGCCCUUUUCAGUGGGGAAGAAAAGCCCGGGGAUUAAUACUUCCGGGUCUUGACGUUACCUAAAGAAGAAGCACCGGCUAACUCCGUGCCAGC
rnacentral:rRNA from 1 species